CAGCGCCGCACGCCCGCACGACACCCAGCCGCGGCACCGCCCGCCCCCAUCAUACGACACCCAGCCGCGGCGCCGCCCGCCCCCAUCGUGCCCUCUCCCACUCCGACCGCCGGUGGACGGUGGUGCACCACCAGACCGGCCUUGGCGCCCCUCCUGUCCUCCCUCCGACCUUCUCGCACGGCCGCGCGCUCGAUUUCCCCGGCACGGCUGCGCCCUGCCGCCCUCCACCUGCCGCCGGCAGGACCAAGAGCCCAGGAGCAGAGGAGCCAUCUCGUCACCUCGGAGGCCUAGAUCUAGCACAGCAGCACCUCCUCGCCGCCUUGUGCCCCUAUCCCUGGCGCUCAGGAUGUCAGGACCCAUGAAGCCGCGGACCAAACAAGGGCCAUCUUUCGGUUCAACUUCUGCAUCGUCCGCCACAAGGCUUCCCUUCCUGGAGCCGGCGCCGCCGGUGAACAGAAGCACUCUAGCUCCUUUUCCAGCACCAGGAUGCAAGAGGUCUAGGUUAGCAAGUGGAAGCCCUAGUCAGGAUCUAGGUCUAUGUCUAUCUUCAGCAUCUGCAAAUGGGACUCCUGCAUCUAGCCCGCCAUCAGCCUCUUUGCCAAGUCAAGGUGGGAAUGGUGUAUCCAGUGUUCUUGUGUUUGUGUUUGUGUUUGUGUGUCGGUGUGUGACUGUUUGUGGACAGUGGACCUAUUCACCUAUUAUUUGUAUGAGUGUGGACUUUUGUUGUGUUGACUGUGAUGGCAUGUCAUCGGUUAUGACAGUAUGAGACUAUGGCAUGUUAUUUGUUAUGUGAAGGCUUAAUGUUAUGUCGUGGUGCUAUUUACCUA